AGUUUGAUCCUGGCUCAGGAUGAACGCUAGCUACAGGCUUAACACAUGCAAGUCGAGGGGCAGCAUUGGAGUAGCAAUACUUCAGAUGGCGACCGGCGCACGGGUGAGUAACACGUAUCCAACCUGCCGCUUACUCGGGGAUAGCCUUUCGAAAGAAAGAUUAAUACCCGAUGGUAUAAAGAGUUCGCAUGUUCUCUUUAUUAAAGAAUUUCGGUAAGCGAUGGGGAUGCGUUCCAUUAGAUAGUUGGCGGGGUAACGGCCCACCAAGUCUACGAUGGAUAGGGGUUCUGAGAGGAAGGUCCCCCACAUUGGAACUGAGACACGGUCCAAAUCCUACGGGAGGCAGCAGUGAGGAAUAUUGGUCAAUGGACGAGAGUCUGAACCAGCCAAGUAGCGUGAAGGAUGACUGCCCUAUGGGUUGUAAACUUCUUUUAUAAGGGAAUAAAGUGAGGGACGUGUCCCUUUUUGUAUGUACCUUAUGAAUAAGGAUCGGCUAACUCCGUGCCAGCAGCCGCGGUAAUACGGAGGAUCCGAGCGUUAUCCGGAUUUAUUGGGUUUAAAGGGAGCGUAGGUUGACGUAUAAGUCAGCUGUGAAAGUUUACGGCUCAACCGUGAAAUUGCAGUUGAUACUGUAUGUCUUGAGUGUACAAGAGGUGGGCGGAAUUCGUGGUGUAGCGGUGAAAUGCUUAGAUAUCACGAAGAACUCCAAUUGCGAAGGCAGCUCACUGGGGUACAACUGACACUGAGGCUCGAAAGUGUGGGUAUCAAACAGGAUUAGAUACCCUGGUAGUCCACACAGUAAACGAUGAAUACUCGCUGUUUGCGAUAUACAGUAAGCGGCCAAGCGAAAGCAUUAAGUAUUCCACCUGGGGAGUACGCCGGCAACGGUGAGACUCAAAGGAAUUAACGGGGGCCCGCACAAGCGGAGGAACAUGUGGUUUAAUUCGAUGAUACGCGAGGAACCUUACCCGGGCUUGAAUUGCAGAGGAAUAUAGUUGAAAGAUUAUCGCCGCAAGGUCUCUGUGAAGGUGCUGCAUGGUUGUCGUCAGCUCGUGCCGUGAGGUGUCGGCUUAAGUGCCAUAACGAGCGCAACCCUUAUCAUUAGUUACUAACAGGUCAUGCUGAGGACUCUAGUGAGACUGCCGUCGUAAGANGUGAGGAANGUGGA
rnacentral:rRNA from 1 species